rnacentral:sRNA from 1 species
UAUAAUAUAUACGAGGGUGCAGUAUCCUAGUCAAGUGCAUUUGGAUCGAAGACGGGGUUAAAAGUCCGUUCAAGGGCAUAUCGAUGAAGUUCCUUGUGUUGGCUUGCGUUGCCCAAACGUGGGUUUAUGCUGGGAGUUAAGAUUUAUGGGCGACUUGUAAUGGCAUAUGAGUGCCGACCCAUUUAUCGUGGAGACCGUCGACGGUGGCUAUUCGCUAUCGCUACGGGUUGAACCUGUAAUGCGGUGUUUCGACGCUGUGUACAGUGUAGCCUGCUUUGAGUGGAGCGAGGGGAUCAAGAUCUACAUUUGCCGAUUGUUGCGCAAAGUCUGCAAAUGAUUGCUUGUGAAACUCACAUCUGCAAAAGAAGAUAGGUCCGGAUAUAUCUUGUCAAGGAAAGCUUCUAGGCUGUUCGCAAGAAGUGUUGUCGGGAUUAUGGUGUGUACUGAGUGGCAAUUCGGUUAUACAGUCUCUGUAUCGCUCUGUUUCAAGGGAAACCGCUCAAUUCGGCAACGGUGAGUACGGAGUGGGGAAAUCCUACCGAACCUAAGGCGCAAGGUCUACCGACAGCACUACCCUUAUUAAAU